rnacentral:rRNA from 1 species
ACCAGCACCCCGAGUGGUCGGGACGAUUAUUGGGCCUAAAGCAUCCGUAGCCGGUUCUGCAAGUCCUCCGUUAAAUCCAGCUGCUCAACAGAUGGGCCGCGGAGGAUACUACAGAGCUAGGAGGCAGGAGAGGCAAGCGGUACUCAGUGGGUAGGGGUAAAAUCCGUUGAUCCAUUGAAGACCACCAGUGGCGAAGGCGGCUUGCCAGAAUGCGCUCGACGGUGAGGGAUGAAAGCUGGGGGAGCAAACCGGA